GCCAGUGUGGUCUAGUGAUUUGAGCACUGAACUAUGACUGUAGAGAUCAGGGUUCAAAUCUCCGCACAGCCA
rnacentral:tRNA from 1 species